AUUGAACGCUGGCGGCAUGCUUUACACAUGCAAGUCGAACGGCAGCGCGGGCUUCGGCCUGGCGGCGAGUGGCGAACGGGUGAGUAAUACAUCGGAACGUGCCCAGUAGUGGGGGAUAGCUCGGCGAAAGCCGGAUUAAUACCGCAUACGACCUGAGGGUGAAAGCGGGGGAUCUUCGGACCUCGCGCUAUUGGAGCGGCCGAUGGCAGAUUAGCUAGUUGGUGGGGUAAAGGCCUACCAAGGCGACGAUCUGUAGCUGGUCUGAGAGGACGACCAGCCACACUGGGACUGAGACACGGCCCAGACUCCUACGGGAGGCAGCAGUGGGGAAUUUUGGACAAUGGGCAAAAGCCUGAUCCAGCAAUGCCGCGCGUGUGAUGAAGGCCUUCGGGUUGUAAAGCACUUUUGGCGGGAACGAAAAGGACUGUGCCAAUACCACGGUUCGAUGACGGUACCCGCAGAAUAAGCACCGGCUAACUACGUG
rnacentral:rRNA from 1 species